UCCAGACUCCUACGGGAGGCAGCAGUGGGGGAUAUUGCACAAUGGGCGCAAGCCUGAUGCAGCGACGCCGCGUGAGCGAAGAAGUAUUUCGGUAUGUAAAGCCCUAUCAGCAGGGAAGAAGAAAUGACGGUACCUGAGUAAGAAGCGCCGGCUAAAUACGUGCCAGCAGCCGCGGUAAUACGUAUGGUGCAAGCGUUAUCCGGAUUUACUGGGUGUAAAGGGAGCGCAGGCGGCACGGCAAGCCUGAUGUGAAAGCCCGCGGCCCAACCGCGGGACUGCAUUGGGAACUACCGGGCUGGAAUGCCGGAGAGGUAGGCGGAAUUCCUAGUGUAGCGGUGAAAUGCGUAGAUAUUAGGAGGAACACCAGUGGCGAAGGCGGCCUACUGGACGGUGACUGACGCUGAGGCUCGAAAGCGUGGGGAGCAAACAGGAUUAGAUACCCCGGUAC
rnacentral:rRNA from 1 species